rnacentral:lncRNA from 1 species
GAACGGGGGCUGCGGGACACAUCCAACAGUCAUUCUGCCCGGCGGCUCUCGGACGGCGCUCCAGCCGGAGGGGGGACGUGGGGCGUGCAGGCACGGCAGUGCGGGCAGUGGGUCUGCCACUCCUCACAGCAGCCUCAUCCUAAGGGUCCUGGCAACCGUGCUCGGCCGGGCCCGGAGGCCGCUCCCCGCCGGCUCUCGCCGCCAGCGGCCCCGACGC